rnacentral:lncRNA from 10 species
ACUCCUGGAGCGGGGGGAGACUAACCCCUCUCCUGUGUCCACAACUGUAGUAAUACAAUCCUCGGUUCUGCUCUCCAAACUUCAAAUAAGGGGUCAGAGCCAAGGGUUAAGACUUUAGGAAAAGCCCCGGAAAUACCCUGCACUCAAAAAGCAGUUUCAGAGUUUCACAUUUUCCUGAGAAUUAAACAAAUUAUCCUCCAAAUUCUGCUGCUUGUUUUGAAUUAUGGUUAUACUGGCAAUGUUAUCCAACCCUUGAGUUGUUUUUCUUUUCUUUUUUUUUUUUUCCUCGAGAGAGUGUCUUGCUCUGUCACCCAGGCUGGAAUGCAGUGGCAUGAUCUCGGCUCACUGCAACCUCCGCCUCCUGGGUUCUAGUGGUUUUCAUGCCUCAGUUUCCCAAGUAGCUGGGAUUACAGGUGUGAGCCACUGUGCCCGGCCCUGUUACCUUUGAGUUUUUAUCUCCACAUACUUAUAUUAAACCGUGUAGUUCUUCUUCCCAUCUGACAUCUACAAUCUCUUCACUGGGUCUGUACUCCAUAGCUAUUUUACCACUUUCUGAAAUA